rnacentral:rRNA from 1 species
AAGAACACCAGUGGCGAAGGCGGCUGUCUAGUCUGUAACUGACGCUGAGGCUCGAAAGCAUGGGUAGCGAACAGGAUUAGAUACCCUGGUAGUCCAUGCCGUAAACGAUGAGUGCUAAGUGUUGGAGGGUUUCCCCCUUCAGUGCUGCAGCUAACGCAUUAAGCACUCCGCCUGGGGAGUACGACCGCAAGGUUGAAACUCAAAGGAAUUGACGGGGGCCCGCACAAGCGGUGGAGCAUGUGGUUUAAUUCGAAGCUACGCGAAGAACCUUACCAGGUCUUGACAUCUUCUGCCAAUCUUAGAGAUAAGACGUUCCCUUCGGGGACAGAAUGACAGGUGGUGCAUGGUUGUCGUCAGCUCGUGUCGUGAGAUGUUGGGUUAAGUCCCGCAACGAGCGCAACCCUUAUUAUCAGUUGCCAGCAUUCAGUUGGGCACUCUGGUGAGACUGCCGGUGACAAACCGGAGGAAGGUGGGGAUGACGUCAAAUCAUCAUGCCCCUUAUGACCUGGGCUACACACGUGCUACAAUGGACGGUACAACGAGUCGCGAAGUCGUGAGGCUAAGCUAAUCUCUUAAAGCCGUUCUCAGUUCGGAUUGUAGGCUGCAACUCGCCUACAUGAAGUUGGAAUCGCUAGUAAUCGCGGAUCAGCAUGCCGCGGUGAAUACGUUCCCGGGCCUUGUACACACCGCCCGUCACACCAUGAGAGUUUGUAACACCCAAAGCCGGUGAGAUAACCUUCGGGAGUCAGCCGUCUAAGGUGGGACAGAUGAUUAGGGUGAAGUCGUAACAAGGA